UCAGAGAAUAGAGGGAAGCGACUGUUUACUAAAAACACAGGUCCGUGCGAAGACGUUGAAGUUGAUGUAUACGGACUGACGCCUGCCCGGUGCUGGAAGGUUAAGAGGACCGGUUAGCCGUAAGGCGAAGCUGAGAAUUUAAGCCCCAGUAAACGGCGGUGGUAACUAUAACCAUCCUAAGGUAGCGAAAUUCCUUGUCGGGUAAGUUCCGACCUGCACGAAUGGCGUAACGACUUCCCUGCUGUCUCAACCACAGGCCCGGUGAAAUUGCAGUACGAGUAAAGAUGCUCGUUACGCGCGGCAGGACGAAAAGACCCCGGGACCUUCACUAUAGCUUGGUAUUGGUGUUUGAUUCGGUUUGUGUAGGAUAGGUGGGAGACGUUGAUGCGGCCACGCUAGUGGUGGUGGAGUCGUUGGUGAAAUACCACUCUGAUUGUUCUGGUUAUCUCACUGUGGACCGUGAUCCGGUUCAAGGACAGUGCCUGAUGGGUAGUUUGACUGGGGCGGU
rnacentral:rRNA from 1 species